rnacentral:lncRNA from 1 species
GGCGAUCUUUUUGAGGUCAUUAUCGUGAUAGGAGCAAACGUAUGUCAAAACUAAUUAAGUUUUACACUUUAAGCAUGUGCAGUUUGUUCUGUGUUAAUAUCUCAGCAGAAUUGUUUUUUUAAAAAUAAAACAAACAACAGUUCAGACUCCUCUGUAAAAGACAUAGAGCUAGGGAAGGCGGGAGAGCCAAAGGAUCAGAAACUCUGUGGAAUGUGCUGUUCAGUGGCCAGAGGGGAUGAGAAAAGUGUUAUUAGGAACACGCUGCCCACUCAGACCGAACACCCUGUUCUCAUGAAUGGUGCUUCUCGUGGCCCCCCUCCUAGUUCUGUUCAUGAAGCUCCUUGACCUAGGUUUUCCCAGUCCCUUGACCUUCUUCAUUUGAGGUUAUAGAAUGGGCCUUCCGUGUGUUUUUAAAAAUUAAGUAUUUAUUUUUCAGGGGAGUGCAACAAGGAUUUGUGUUUAUUAAGUGUACUUCUGGAAUUUUUCUAAAGGUUCCUGGAACAUAUAAAUGAUAGCUCAAACUCUUACCUCUAAUUUCUAAGACUCUACUCAAAUUGUUGUGUUUCACAGGAAUUCAUUGGAAUUCCAUCGGAUCAGCUGCUUGUGUGAAGUAAAUGGAAGAGGCUCAGAAGCAGACGUUGAAUUCCUGCUGGAACCAGUUAGAACAUAGUUGACACAGUGAAGGUGUUUCCAGGGCCUAAUGAAAUUGUACAUGAACCUGAGAAAACACCCAGCUGAAACCUUUCCAAGAAAGACAGGUGUGCAAAUGAUUCCUGCUGAGAGUAGAAAUUUUAACAGAGUGGAGAAAGAAGACACAAGCUGCAAAAUGCCAACUUGUUAAAAGCUCCAAACAAAUGCCAGAGACUCCUCCGCAGCCAAUCCUUGAUGGCCCCAUGAGACAAUGAUCAUGUUAUGAUCAAUUGAAACAAUUGAAAAGUGUGUGCCUAAGAU